UACGUAGGGGGCAAGCGUUGUCCGGAAUCAUUGGGCGUAAAGCGCGCGCAGGCGGUCCUUUAAGUCUGAUGUGAAAGCCCACGGCUCAACCGUGGAGGGUCAUUGGAAACUGGGGGACUUGAGUACAGAAGAGAAGAGUGGAAUUCCACGUGUAGCGGUGAAAUGCGUAGAGAUGUGGAGGAACACCAGUGGCGAAGGCGACUCUUUGGUCUGUAACUGACGCUGAGGCGCGAAAGCGUGGGGAGCAAACAGG
rnacentral:rRNA from 1 species